rnacentral:misc_RNA from 1 species
AAGUCGUAACAAGGUUUCCGUAGGUGAACCUGCGGAAGGAUCAUUAACACGUAUCCAACGUUAAACAACCCUGUGAACCUUCAUUCCUGCUCUCCUUGUCCGUUGAGAAAGCAAUCCCUGGUAAAUCACACGAACAGUUUGAUUCAGGGACCUCUUUUGAUGACGCACUUGGAUUCGAUGCGGCGUCGUAAUUUAGACUUGGUUUCUGGAAGGCUGCCUAACAAGCAGAUCACUGAUCCUUACGGUCAGUGGACAAGUCUCUGGGCUUCGGCCCCCCAUAUUAACCCCAGUUCUCAAUUCGGAGGAUGCGGAAACGCUCCUCAUAAAAACGAACAACUGUUAACAAUGGAUAUCUUGGUUCUC